rnacentral:sRNA from 1 species
UAGUAGCCAAUAGAACUACAAGCGCAGG